GGUCUUGAGUUUACUAUAGCAUCAAAAACGAACCAGGUGUGUAAAAAAUACACAAGAAAUCGAAGUUUGGCGAAAGUUAAAAAAUGGGUCUGUCAAUGCCACACGGGCGUGUGCCUGGCUGUGUGGUCGACCGUGUGCGAGACAAGGUCGUGUAAUAGGAAGUGUGUGGUCGUGUGGGCCACAUGAGAUAGGCCAAAUUGGGCGUGUGGG
rnacentral:lncRNA from 1 species